AGAUAAUACAGCAGGCCUACAGUGAGGAGAUCCAGAGCAGAGACAAAGCGAUGGAGGUGAUAACACUGGAGCCGCCAUUGUCUUGAUAGUCUGAUUUGUGCUGGUGUGUGUGUCUGGCAUUGUCACGGAACAACUUGAAGGAGCCUCCUUGUAAAUCUAAGCUUGCGUGUGUGUUUUGCUUCUUCUUACACUUCAAACAGUGGAGCACUGUUUGUGGGUAAUUCUAAGUUCACGAUAUAACAGCUACACUUUACUGUGAUGAAAAUACCUCUUUCUGUCCACAUGUAAGAACAUUACAAAACAUAGAAAUUAUGCUCCUGCUUGUCCCUGUUUCUGCAUAUGUUAAAAUGUUUUGUGUUUGUGCAGUACACGCCAAACGAAGACCGAAGGCUGACCAAUGAGCCAUCACAGGUCUUGUGAGUCGUUCUGAUGCCCUUUACAGAUAAAAUCAUUGUGAUAAAGAAGUGUCCAUGCACUUGUUAUGUUGGAGCAGGUGCCUGGAAGCUGGUCCUGUUUUGUCCCUGCUCACGGGAGACUUUAAAGAAUCUCUCUUCAUUGCUCUCCUUGUCGGCUUUAAAUGCUCAAAACAGAGAUCCUUGUACAUGUUUUCAUAGGUAUUUUGGCUUUUCCACCAUGUGUGACUGCAUAAGCAAUGUUCUUUUUUAGUAAUCUUAUCCUAGUUUAAUGCCAGAUGCGAUGAAAAAAUAAUUCCACUAUUUUAUCAUCAGUCCAUAGUAUAUUUGGCCAUCAUCAAGUUUUGGGAAACCUGAGACGGCCUUUGUGUUCUUUUUGGCAAAGAGGCAAAGAGGAGCGAUCUUAGGGACGUUAUGACAUAACAGACAAGAUACCUACUUAUAUGGGUGACUUUUCAAAAAGCCAGGUCUUGCGUUCUGCUUGGGGCCUUCAGAGCUGGGGUUAUGCGAUUGCUUUUCCUUCUCCUUUUGACCUACCUGUGUCCAAAAACCCUAAGCCAGAUGUCCUGUCUAGACAAUUCUCCAUUGAUGACUUUGAGGAGGAGCCUGCACCGGUUCUGCCUCCUAGUUGGACAGUUGGGUCCCUCACAUGGGAGGUGGAGGACCUAGUCCUUUGUGCUUAACAACAGGAAUCAGAUCCAGCCAAACCCCCUCCAACACCCCGGACCAUCUGGGGCACCUGGUGUAUGCGGUCCAACGGAUCGUGGACUCCUGUCGGCAGGGUCGUGGUUGGCAGUACCUCGUCGACUGGGAGGGCUACGGUACUGAGGACCGUACUUGGGUGCCCCAGUCCUUUAUCUGUGACCCGUCUCUUAUCAGGUACUUUUGGGCUUCCCUGCCUUCCACUUCCUCAGGGCCACCAGGCGGCGGCCGUUGAGGGGAGGAUGAUGUCGGGGUCUGGGAGUCUUGUGUUUGUGCUUUUCCUGCCUGCUACUAACUAAAACCUAAUUUAAUGUGAUUUAUGCCUAAACCCAAACAAGGAGUUUAGUACUCAAAGGUGGACAAGGUGAAAGAAGCCAAAAAUAACCAUAGGCCACAUAAGGUCUAAGUUGGGAAUGGACCUGUUGUUGAUCCUGUUACUCCUGCUGUGUUUGAUUUUUCUUUGAUUUGUUGUUUACCUUCGCGUUACGUACUGUUAGUAAUAUAAGAUAGUGAUGUAUUUCUCAUUAUUUUAUGCAUUCAAGCAUGAAAGUAACAUGCUUACAAAUAGACAUUGAACAUUGCUAUGUGUGCCACAGGUUCAAUGAGAUACAAAUCAUCAGAAGGGAUAGAUGUUUGUCGGGGUCUGGGAGUUUAGUGUUUGUGCUUUUACUGCCUGCUACUAACUUUGCUUGGUCCAUAGAGGGCACUGUUGCUCCUGGGUGUGAGUGGACAGGUGUUAACCAUCUCCUUAUUGCCGACUGGGGGUAUUUAAGCCUGAAGCUGCCGGCACUUUAUCGGCUGAUUGUUAACCUACAGUGGUACAAUCUCUAGCCCAGAUCUAAGCUUGUUUCAAGUUUCUCUUGGUGUCCAAGACUUACCUUCUCGUGGCCUCCUCCUUAGGUUCCAGACCUAUUUGAUCCAGCUUCCAGUUCUGGUCUUAAGCAUGCUCCUGACCUCUGGAUCUAACUACCUUAGAUGCUCCUGGAUUUUCAAGAUUCAAGUCUCAAGUUUUCUUCUCGGAUUAACUCCCGUCUGGCAGCAUCAGGAUCAACAACAAACCGGCCCAAGUCAGCAGCAAACCCUGUCCACCCUCCAAUGUGCUCUCAGGCAAGCUUCUCGGAGGACUCUUCGUCUCUCAAAGACCGAGCCAUCUGGAUAAACGAAUCACACCAAGGCAACUCCCGUGCUGAGCUCCCAGACUCCACAUCUCCAUUCCCCUUGGUGGUUUCACUCCUCAUCCCUUUGGCGGUUUCCUGGUCCCAGAUCACUACACCUUCCCUGUGUAAAAAUAAAUAUCUUAAAUUAU